rnacentral:lncRNA from 1 species
CUGGUGCCACUCAGGCAGUCAGAUGAGCUGGUGCCACUCAGGCAGUUAGAUGUACUGGUGCCACUCAGAUGUACUGGUGCCACUCAGGCAGUUAGAUGGGCUGGUGCCACUCAGACAGUCAGAUGAGCUGGUGCCACUCAGGCAGUUAGAUGUACUGGUGCCACUCAGAUGUACUGGUGCCACUCAGGCAGUUAGAUGUACUGGUGCCACUCAGGCAGUUAGAUGUACUGGUGCCACUCAGACAGUUAGAUGUACUGGUGCCACUCAGGCAGUUAGAUGUACUGGUGCCACUCAGACAGUUAGAUGUACUGGUGCCACUCAGGCAGUUAGAUGUACUGGUGCCACUCAGACAGUCAGAUGUACUGGUGCCACUCAGGCAGUUAGAUGUGCUGGUGCCACUCAGAUGUGCUGGUGCCACUCAGGCAGUUAGAUGGGCUGGUGCCACUCAGGCAGUUAGAUGUACUGGUGCCACUCAGACAGUCAGAUGUACUGGUGCCCCUCAGGC